rnacentral:lncRNA from 1 species
GUGUACACUGGAAGGCUGGUGGUCACACAGCAUGCAUGCACAGGAAGGCUGGUGGUCACACAGUGUGUGUACACUGGAAGGCUGGUGGAUCACACAGUGUGUGUAGACUGGAAGGCUGGUGGAUCACCCAAUAUGCAUGCACAGGAAGGCUGGUGGAUCACACAGUGUGUGUACACUGGAAGGCUGGGGGUCACACAGUGUGUGUACACUGGAAGGCUGGUGGUCACACAGCAUACAUGCACAGGAAGGCUGGUGGUCACACAGUGUGUAUACACUGGAAGGCUGGUGGUCACACAGUGUGUGUACACUGGAAGGUUGGUGGUCACACAGCAUGCAUGCACAGGAAGGCUGGUGGUCACACAGUGUAUACACUGUAAGGCUGGUGGUCACACAGCAUGCAUGCACAGGAAGGCUGGUGGUCACACAGUGUGUACACUGGAAGGCUGGUGGUCACACAGUGUGUGUACACUGGAAGGCUGGUGGAUCACACAGUGUGUGUACACUGGAAGGCUGGUGGAUCACACAGUGUGUGUACAUAGGAAGGCUGGUAGUCACACAGCAUGCAUGCACAGGAAGGCUGGUGGAUCACACAGUGUGUGUACACUGGAAGGCUGGUGGAUCACACAGUGUGUGUACACUGGAAGGCUGGUGGAUCACCCAAUAUGCAUGCACAGGAAGGCUGGUGGAUCACGCAGUGUGUAUACACUGGAAGGCUGGUGGUCACACUGUGUGUGUACACUGGAAGGCUGGUGGUCACACAGCAUGCAUGCACAGGAAGGCUGGUGGAUCACACAGUGUGUGUACACUGGAAGGCUGGUGGAUCACACAGUGUGUGUACAUUGGAAGGCUGGUGGAUCACACAGUGUGUGUACACUGGAAGGCUGGUGGAUCACACAGUGUGUGUACACUGGAAGGCUGGUGGUCACACAGCGUGCAUGCACAGGUAGCAGAGAGGGAGAACGGCUAUAAAAACUCAAACCUCACCCCAAUGACACACGUUCUCCAACAAGGCUCUGCCCUGCUUAGAGAUUGCAGAAGCUUCCCAAGCGGUGCCUCCAGCUUAGGAAGGAGGAUCUGAGCAUGUGCCUGGCAUAAUCCUAGCACUUGGAAGGGGGGAGCAAAAGGAGCAGACAUCCAAGGUCAUCCUCUGCUACAGCAAGUUCAAGGACAGUGUGGGCUCCAGG